rnacentral:rRNA from 1 species
AUGAAGUCGGAGUUGCUAGUAAUCGCGGAUCAGCAUGCCGCGGUGAAUACGUUCCCGGGCCUUGUACACACCGCCCGUCACACCAUGGGAGUUGGGAGUGCCCAAAGCCGGUGAGGCAACCUUCGGGAGCCAGCCGUCUAAGGCAAGACCAAUGACUGGGGUGAAGUCGUAACAAGGUACC